rnacentral:rRNA from 1 species
AGCAGCCGCGGUAAUUCCAGCUCCAAUAGCGUAUAUUAAAGUUGUUGCAGUUAAAAAGCUCGUAGUUGAAUUUCGGGGUCAGCAAGUUGGUCGUGCCACUGGUAUGCACUGGCUUUACUGAUUCCUCCUUCUUGAAGAACUGUAAUGCUAUUAAUUUAGUGUUGCAGGGAAACAGGACUGUUACUUUGAAAAAUUAGAGUGUUUAAAGCAGGCUAACGCUUGAAUACAUUAGCAUGGAAUAAUGAAAUAGGACGUUUGAUCCUAUUUUGUUGGUUUCUAGGAUUGACGUAAUGAUUAAUAGGGAUAGUUGGGGGCAUUAGUAUUCAAUUGUCAGAGGUGAAAUUCUUGGAUUUAUUGAAGACUAACUACUGCGAAAGCAUUUGCCAAGGAUGUUUUC